rnacentral:tRNA from 1 species
AAUAGCUUGACAGAAUAGUGUAUUAAAUUUAGAAUUUAAGUAAGUUGAGUAAAAUCUUCAGUUAUUA